AAUUUUUUAGAAACAAAUCCUUCAUCCUGGCACGGGUUAGACUAGAUGACCAUUUCAGUUCCUUCUUAUGCUAUGAUUCUAUGAUUUUAAAUCACAUUGUUUUUAACCAAUUUCCUGAUAUUUUUGGGCCUGUCUCCUGAUUUUUGAAAACUUGGAUAUGGCAGUGCGGGAAAGUCUGUUUACCAUUCCACAAGAAUAUAUGAAUGUUAAAGGCUGUUUUCCCUACCAGCUGAGAGGGAGUUACCCCAGGUCAGCUAGAGGCACCUGAUCCUAAUUAAGGGCCUUUUAAAACCCCUCUUCUGAGUAGAGGAAAGGGGAAGAGAGAAACAAGUUGCUGCCAGGCUAGUGGCAGUAGGGAAAAAAGCUUCUCCAGGGUGAGGGGCUGUGUUCCUACCCAUAGGGGAAACAGCCAAACCUGAGUGCCUGCUAGGUAAGGACUGAGAGCCCAGGGAAAACCAACAGGGCAACACCCUGCACCAGCGAGGAGGCAGCAAAAGAUUCAAUAAAACUUUCAAAGAACAGACCUGAGCAGAGAACUCCAGCAUCUUCACAAUGCCCACAGUUAUGCCGACCCCAUCCACGAGAGGAACAGUCCUGAAGACAGGAUUCGCUUCCAGAGCAACCCACAUCAUCCAGCCAGAUCUGCCCUGAUCCUUCCCCAUAAUGAGCUGAGCCAGUUGCAUUGAGGGCGUGUCCACAUCCCAACUCUUGGCAAACGACAUUGGCAUCUGAUGUGUCCCAAGAAUCAUCACAGACUGUCCCCCAGGCUCCACUCUAAUCAGCUUCAAUAGAGAAUGAACAGACCUGAGCAGAGAACUCCAGCAUCUCCACCGUGCCCACAGUUAUGCUGACCCCAUCCACUGGAGGAACAGUCCCGAAGAAAGGAUUCACUUCCAGAGCAAUUCACAUCAUCUAGCCAGAUCUGCCCUGACCCUUCCCCAUAAUGAGCUGAGGCAGGUGCAUUGAUGGCUAGUCCACAUCUCAAUUCUUUGCAAACAACAUUGGCAUCUGAUGUGUCCCAGGAAUCAUCACAGACUGUCCCCCAGGUGCCAUUGUAAUAAAUCUCCACUCUCCCAGAGCAUGGAUCUAUUCCAUUCACCAGUCUCAUCUGUUUGCUUCCUACAGAAAGGAAUUUCAGAUGUUAAUGUCAUUCCUAUUGAAGAAGAAGAUGUUUGUAAGAUUUCAGGAAACACCUGGGCAAAUGAACAUGACAUUCUCAGCAAUUUACAACAGUGAAUAUCUUCUGUGGAGCUAUUGCGGUGGCUGGUGGGUUUCGUCUCCUACAUUCCUUGCAUUUCAGAACUGCAUAGGCCCAUUCCACAUUCAAUCUUAGCAAUGAUUAGAAGCAGGGUUGUAUAUUUUUUUCAGAAUUCAUGAUAUUUAGGUUUUUUUCACUCUCACCAGCUGGCUAUUGAGCAAAAGUCCUCUACAUAUGUUACUCUUUUGUCCUUUUAUUGACCUAAAAUGGGGUCAAAGCCCAUUGAACUCAAUGGAAGGAAUCACGCUGAUUUCAACAGGUCCCACAUAAUGAAUAUGUUUGAGUAUGUUUUUAAAAUUGUGUUUAGUUGCUAGUUAAAGAUUAUUAAAUGGUUCAAAUCAAUUUUGCAUGAAAACAGAUUUCACUUUUCAUGAUUCCUAAUUUUUAAAAAACAAUUAAAAUUCUAUUCUGAUUCUGAAGUUCUGAUUUUAUUUUUUAACUAAAAUUAUGACAAGAAAUUUUUGUCAUAACAAAGUCGUUAUAAGCUUUAUCUCUAUCUCUACGCUACAGAUACCUGCACACUGUACUGGCAUGACUAGUGUCAUGCAGAUUAUUAUCCAGAAUUCUACUUCACACCAUGCAAGAAAAUCUCCAUGCUCCAAGAACACUGAUUUUCUACAUUCAGCACUCUAUGCAAAUCAGAAUGAUCUUUGCUCUGUAGUCAUGGGAAAUUCAGUGAAUAACAUUAAUAGCCAUAUGUAUUACCUACAAGCACUUGUUAAACAAACAAACAUUGGUAGGUUACAGAGUCAAACACCUGAAAGUUGGGAAAUGCCUGGUUUAUGGUUGCCUGUUCCACCUUAUUUUUCUCCCUUAUGCAACCAGUAUGUGCACUGAAUGAGGCAGGGGUCUUGUGGAAAUUAAAGACAGUUUUAUAAUGCAUACAU